AGAAAACAAACGUUUCUGCUAUCGAUGUCAUUAAACAUGGAGCCAUACAAUGAAGUGGUGGUAUGAGCGUUCAUUCAAUGCAGGCGUCUGCGCGAGAGACUACUGAAACUAAUCAAUAUCGUUGGUAUCAAAGCUCCGCUUCAACCUGUUGGAACGCUUUUUAAUUUGACACUUAAUAGAACGACGUUGAUUUUUGGAACUUCCAUAGAAUCAGAGCACGUGUAGAUGAGCCCUAUAACCCCAAAGUCUGCCAUGACCGGGCCUCAGGUCAAGGAAGUUUGAGAGAGGCUCAAGUAGACGAUAAAGCAGCA